ensembl:snRNA U6 U6 spliceosomal RNA
GUGGUACUCACCUGAGUAUCACAUACCCUGAAGUGGGAACAAUAGAGAGAUUAGCAUGGGCCCUGAGAAAGGAUGGCACACAAAUCAGUGAAGUGGUCCAGAGUUUU